ACUCCGUAGCGGGAGGCAGCAGGUAGGGGAAUUAUUGCAACGAAUGGCGCAAGCCUGAUGCAGCCAUGCCGCGUGUGUGAAGAAGGCCUUCGGGUUGUAAAGCACUUUCAGUCGUGAGGAAGGUAGUGUAGUUAAUAGCUGCAUUAUUUGACGUUAGCGACAGAAGAAGCACCGGCUAACUCCGUGCCAGCAGCCGCGGUAAUACGGAGGGUGCGAGCGUUAAUCGGAAUUACUGGGCGUAAAGCGCAUGCAGGUGGUUUUGUUAAGUCAGAUGUGAAAGCCCGGGGCUCAACCUCGGAAUUGCAUUUGAAACUGGCAGACUAGAGUACUGUAGAGGGGGGUAGAAUUUUCAGGUGUAGCGGUGAAAUGCGUAGAGAUCUGAAGGAAUACCGGUGGCGAAGGCGGCCCCCUGGACAGAUACUGACACUCAGAUGCGAAAGCGUGGGGAGCAAACAGGAUUAGAUACCCUGGUAGCUACGAGU
rnacentral:rRNA from 1 species